rnacentral:lncRNA from 1 species
GGCAAAUGUUAACUCCAUCCCCCACCCACAGCCGGGUCUUGGUAGGGAGAGGGUGAAAUGAUGGACUAGGAGAGAUUUGGGUUCCUUGGACAGAUCUUGCCUUUUCCAGCAAGGUUGGGUUACAUGCCCUCUCUCUCUCAGCUCCUGGAAUUCCCCCUUGGCUUGCUACUGUUCUGAGAUGAAGUAAACUGGGUGAUUCUAAGAAUGGGCCUUGAGUCUGGCAAACCCAUCUGUUUCUUCCUAGCUAUGGGCCCCUGGCCCUCACCUCCCGCUUCUCAGUUUCUUCACCUGGAAAAUGAAGAUGACUAAGGAACCUGGGCCUUGGAAGGUUCUGGGAAUUCAGUGGAGUCAGGCACGUUCUUCAUUUGUGUAUUAUCUACGGCCCAGUUCUUGCUGCAGCAGCGGAAUCGAGAAGCUGCGGGAGAGACCCCGCAGCCUGCAAAGCUGAAAAUAUUUACUUCCUGGCCAUUCACAGAAAAUGUUUGCCAACCCAUGACCUAAAGCAUCAUCUCUCAGAGGGUUGGGAAGGAACCUGGAAGCUGUCCCAUUCAGAGGCGGGAGCUUCAACGGGACCCUGCGUCUUCUGCCUCCAAGGCCUGUGGUAGGGGCUGUCACAGGCUGCAGAGGAGUCCAGGAGGGAGAUGCUACAGGUAAGGCAGGAGGAUGGAGAAGAGAGAACAGACUUGAACUAGACUUAGGGUCACACCAGCAGCUGUGAGCAGCUGACGAGUGUUCCAGUGCAAGGAGAGGAGGGUGCAAGAGCCAGGGAUUAUACACUGAUUAGCCUCCAUCACCGCAGAAAUUAUCUUGCCUGUGCAUGGUGCGAGGGUCUGGAACAUACAUUUAACCAAGGCAAGGAGCGAAGUGAGAGGAAGCAAUAUUGUGGAUUGCAGGAGGUGAUGGAUGAGAUGAGAGAAGAAUCUGCAUGGUCAGAAUCUGUUUGGCAUCGGAAGGGAAGUACCCAGGAAAUUUGAGGAUCGCCUCGUCCAGUUGUCUGUGGAACUGAACUGUGAGUUGUCCAUGAGGGAUGAAUGGCAAUGCCAAUGUUUCCAGAGUUUCUGUCAUGAGGUCUCCUGGCUUGGAGAUGGAGAGGGCACACACAGGUUUCGGAUUCAAGCCUGCAGGACAGUCCUGGCUGCACCACUCAGGAACCCUGGGUGAGUCUCUUUACCCCUCACAGCCUCAGUUUUCCCUUCCUGGAAAUGGGACCACAAUCCAAACCUUGUAGAACUGCUUCAAAGAUGAAAGGAGACAUCGCAUGUGAGAUGCCGGCCCAUAGGAGCCAGGGCACGAAAGGCAGCUCCGCAUUGGGUCCCCAAAAAG